rnacentral:rRNA from 1 species
UACGGAGGGUGCAAGCGUUGUUCGGAAUCAUUGGGCGUAAAGCGCGUGUAGGCGGCUUGGCAAGUCAGUUGUGAAAGCCCGGGGCCCAACCCCGGAACUGCGUCUGAAACUGCUUGGCUGGAGUCCCGGAGAGGAAGGCAGAAUUCCCGGUGUAGGGGUGAAAUCCGUAGAUAUCGGGAGGAAUACCAGCGGCGAAGGCGGCCUUCUGGACGGUGACUGACGCUGAGGCGCGAAAGCGUGGGGAGCGAACAGG